AGGUCUCCAGGCUCGGUGGAGCUGUCUGGCAUUGUGCAGAGGGCUCAUCGCAGGGAGACACUGCCGAGGGAAGGGCUCUGCAGCCUGUCAAGAUGUUGCUUUUCUGAGAAAUUCAGGAGGGAAAUCUCUGCCCCCAGCUAUUCAUUGCUUCUCAUGCACAGCAGGAUCAGAUCCUCAGUCUGCCUACAAGAACAGUGAGAGCCAUGGGCUCCCUCUGGAGUCACCUUGUUGCUUUUCACGCAUUGCUUCGCCCACACGAAGGAGCCCAGUCCCUAAGUUUUGCCUAGGGCCAACAUUGCCAACUUUGGCUUCACUUGUGGAUAUCAAAUGAGCGAAAACCCAAACCGAGUGUCCCUGGCUACACAAGGGAGGAACCAGACUGCAGGAUCUGCCAGGACUUCCUUUGCUUCCCUUGUGUCUGAAAGAGUGAAGGCCAAUGAACCCAAGCCAAUCACUUUCCCCUUUGGUCAGUUUUAUAGCAUUGCCCCUGCCUUCUGUUUCUAAGAAGUUACAUGAGCUGGGGGCUGCCUGUGUUCUGGUGUGUUGCUCAGCCUGAGCAGACCUGGUUUGAGCCUGUAGCUGGCCCAUGUCAAACAAGAGUGAUGUCAUAAGUUCCUCAGCUCCUGGUGUACGUGUUAAUUUCUACCUCAAAGAGCCACCAAAUCCUCGACAACGUUGAAAGCUGUGCUGAAAUCCCAGAAGAUCACAUCUAUUGGUCCUCUUGGUCAACAAGGCAGGGCUCCGGGGGUCCCAGGGUCCAUCAUCAGUGUUAAAGACAGAAUGAAAGAAGGCAUUAACUCUCUCUGUU
ensembl:lncRNA